UACGGAGGGUGCAAGCGUUGUCCGGAUUUAUUGGGUUUAAAGGGUGCGUAGGCGGCCCGAUAAGUCGGGGGUGAAACCCACAGGCUUAACCUGUGGAGUGCCCUCGAUACUGUCGGGCUUGGGUUAUCUCUAGGCGGGCGGAAUGGAAGGUGUAGCGGUGAAAUGCAUAGAUAUCUACCAGAACGCCGAUAGCGAAGGCA
rnacentral:rRNA from 1 species